rnacentral:piRNA from 1 species
UCUCCAUCAGAAUUCAGCGGGGUUGUGAGA